AUGAAAUUUUUAUGGAAAGUAGUACACAUGAGUACCAAUUAUUCCUGAAAAUUUGGAGCAAAAAGAAGGUGGCCUUUUCGAGAAAAAAUUUUUUUUUGUUUUUUCGAAAAAUUGAAUUUUUGUCUUUAUUUUUCAAUAUUUUUCUCUCUACGUCCUUUUUCUUGAAAGAAUAUAAAAAAACGAAAAAAAUGAGUCCAAGACGAACAAAAAUGGUUGAAAUUUACGGAAGAUAUACGAUUUUAAAGAUGAAAAUGCAAAAAAAUCGAAUUUUUUCAUAAAAUCUUCAAAUAUUCGUAAAACGUCCAAAAAAAGUCGUAUCAAAAAAUAAAAAAAUACGUAUUUCUUUAUUUUUCAAGUAGAAUAACAUAUUUCAUUGUCAAGUCAAUUCGGAAUCUAUCAUCGGACUGCCUGCAUGAUUUGAUAUGGAUCAGGUCAAUAUUCAAUUUUUCAUCUGAAAUAAUCUUUUUCUUUUUUUAGCUCUAAAAGUAGAAGACGAUCCCGUGCUUGGGAAAAUUAUUUCACUGAAAUAUGUCAAUGACUUUGUUAAUGACAAUUAUUGCAAGAAACGACUUUUUGAGAUUCACCAUUUGAUUAAAGACGGCAAGCAGAAAAAUCAUCGAGGAAGCAACAGAGAUUGCCUGACCUAGUGAUGAAAAGGCUGCUGAAGGUUUCUGGUCGAAGGGAAUUAAGUCUCACUAAUGAAUAAUGGAUUAGAGAAUUCCUUGGAGAACAAAAAACAACUUUCGAAUCAACUGAAAUUCGAAGCAUUCAUCUGAAGGAAAAUUUGGUUUAAAGUCAGAAUCGGAAAAUAAGAAAAAUCAAUUAAUGGGAUAUGAAGAAUUAAUAAAUGCAUUAAUCUAUUAUAAAUAUGUAAUUUAAAUUUUUUGUAAUGCUUCAGGUCAGAAUUUCCCAAACGAAUCACUUUAAAUUAAAAAUUUUAAUUUUCAA